CCUACGGGCGGCAGCAGUGGGGAAUAUUGGGCAAUGGGCGCAAGCCUGACCCAGCAACGCCGCGUGAAGGAAGAAGGCUUUCGGGUUGUAAACUUCUUUUAAGAGGGAAGAGCAGCAGACGGUACCUCUUGAGUAAGCCACGGCUAACUACGGGCCAGCAGCCGCGGUCAUACGGGGGAUGCAAGCGUUAUCCGGAUUUAUUGGGUUUAAAGGGUGCGUAGGCUGUGAGGUAAGUCAGCGGUGAAAUGCCCCCGCUCAACGGGGUGAAGUGCCAUUGAUACUGCCAUGCUGGAAUGCGGAUGCCGUGGGAGGAAUGUGUGGUGUAGCGGUGAAAUGCAUAGAUAUCGCACAGAACACCGAUUGCGAAGGCAUCUCACGAAGCCGCGAUUGACGCUGAUGCACGAAAGCGUGGGUAUCAAACAGGAUUAGAUACCCGUGUAGUC
rnacentral:rRNA from 1 species